UCCGAAAUAAAAGAAACACAAUUACACAAUAUUAUUUAAUUUGGGAAACAACAUCUUUACAUAAUUCACUUGCUUCAUCCUAUGGAGAAACUCUUGCAACAAAUAACCAGAGAAAUCGGGAUGUCAAUCCCCUCUAUUUUUGUGUUCCUUUCCAAUUAUUCAAACCCCAUUACGCGCCAGUUACUCCCUCACAAAACCCUCUGCUCUGACUCCCCUAUUUGCGUGCUCUUGAAGUCGUGCAAAGAAGUUUUGAACCAAGACUCACUCAGUCGAUCGAGAUUUGCAGAAGAUUAGCACUGGUUGUGUAAUGUGUAUCGGCAAAUCAGUUGGUGGCCGAGGGAAGUGCAUCAGCUAGAAUACCAACAAAGAACCGUAGAUGCAAGUCUAAAGACAUUACAACUACCGGUAUAUAUCAUAACGUUUGAUAAUUAAGCAAUAUUGCCGCUAAAGUUAGGAGAUUGGAUUUCAAAUUGCAGGUCUUGAGUUCGAUGCUAGUCCUGGACCACUUUUGAUUUUUUUUCUUUUUAAUUUAAAUGCCAACUUAAUUUGAAAAACAAUGUAGGGAUCCAUUCCAAGACAUGUUUGAAUUAGAGAAUUCGGUAAACAACGGAUUAAAGUGGGUUGGUUUUAACUUUUAACACUUUAGUUUCUAAUUUAUUUCUCACAGAUUUGUAUGUUUCUUUUGGGAUAACAAGGGAUUAGAGAGGGUUGGUUUUACUUAUAUGUGAUGUAGGGGUGAGCAAAGUCCAUUACCCGACCAGACCCGAUGAAUACCCGACCUGAAUCAAGAUGAUUGGAAUCAUCUUUGCGACUAUUGGGAGUCAGAAAAAACCCGGAAAUAUAGUGAUCAAAUGGAACUUAACAGAAGAAACCAAGUAAUUAUAAGCAGGGGGCUCUCGGUCGAUAGCCAAUCAUGCAUCCAAAAUUGUAAGUUUACGCUUUUCAACCAGAUUUUGAGAGCACAAUAUCUACAAAUGAUGCUGGUGAAGAUGAUGGUUUGAAUGGACUACACAACGAAAGUGACAAUACUAUCUAGGCAGUUAGUUAAGACGUUUAUUAGUUUUUUUCUCUAUUACUCUUCUAAAUUUCAGAAUUGAUGAACUGGUGCUAUUUUGAUUUUCAUUGGCUAUUGUUAUGACAUUAAUGCUUGAGUUAUAGUGAGUUUAAGAAAGCUAGAAUCAUAUUGACGAAUAA